rnacentral:lncRNA from 1 species
AUGGGUUCACAGUUCUCUCUCAGAACACGUACUCCUUUGAUUUUCUUGAAAGCCUUUGGAAAGCCUUGGGACACCUGUAGGUUCCACUGGAAAAUAUUGACAUAUUCAGAAGUCUUCCCAAAAAACCAAAAAAACAACAGCAACAACAACAAAAAACUUCAGGGUUACUCAAGUUCAUCUGCAGCCACAUCCUUCCAAAAAUGCCUAUUUCUCUAAGAAGACCUAUAUCUUAAAAAGUGUGCCUGGAAGUAAAGGAUUCCGAGACGGUCGAGGCACAAGUUGGGAGAGCCUGACCCCUGAGCCACUGCUGAGAGGACAUCCUUCUGGGAGAGUAGCUGACCUGCACUGGACCUUGUGAACAUGAGAAACAAAUUUUCACUUUGUGAGUUCUUAAGAUUUGGGAGUCUAUCUGUUAUUGUGGAAGAGCUUAUCCUCCCUUAACUAAUACACUUAUUAAUCAAAG